rnacentral:rRNA from 1 species
AUUGAACGCUGGCGGCAGGCCUAACACAUGCAAGUCGAGCGGAUGAAGGGAGCUUGCUCCUGGAUUCAGCGGCGGACGGGUGAGUAAUGCCUAGGAAUCUGCCUGGUAGUGGGGGAUAACGUCCGGAAACGGGCGCUAAUACCGCAUACGUCCUGAGGGAGAAAGUGGGGGAUCUUCGGACCUCACGCUAUCAGAUGAGCCUAGGUCGGAUUAGCUAGUUGGUGGGGUAAAGGCCUACCAAGGCGACGAUCCGUAACUGGUCUGAGAGGAUGAUCAGUCAGACGGGAGGAGAGAAGGGGUACAGGCUAAUACGGGAGGCAGCCGUGGGGAGUAUUGGAAAAUGGGCGAAGGCCUGAACCAGCCUUGCCGUGGGGGGGAAGAGGGUUUUGUGAUUUUAAAGCUCUUUUGUUGGGGAGAAAGGGCAGAAAGUUAAUACCUUCCUGUUUUGACGUUACGAAAAGAAUAAGCACCGGCAACCUUCGUG